rnacentral:rRNA from 1 species
AGGACGAACGCUGGCGGCGUGCUUAACACAUGCAAGUCGAGCGAAGCUGCUUUAAAACUUCGGUUUUGAGGCAGACUUAGCGGCGGACGGGUGAGUAACCCGUGGGUAAUCUGCCUGGGAGACCGGGACAACAGCUCGAAAGGGCUGCUAAUACCGGAUGAUACCAUUAACGUAAGUUAAUGGUCAAAGGUUAUGUAGCGCUUUCAGAUGAGCCCGCGUCCCAUUAGCUAGUUGGCAGGGUAAAGGCCUACCAAGGCGACGAUGGGUAGCCGGUCUGAGAGGAUGGUCGGCCACACUGGGACUGAGACACGGCCCAGACUCCUACGGGAGGCAGCAGUGGGGAAUUUUGCGCAAUGGGGGCAACCCUGACGCAGCGACGCCGCGUGAGUGAAGAAUGCCUUCGGGUUGUAAAGCUCUGUCUAGGGGGAAGAUAGUGACGGUACCCCUGGAGGAAGCCCCGGCUAACUACGUGCCAGCCGCCGCGGU